CCGCCCCGACUUGGCGUACUCCGCCUUCCAUGGUUUCGGCGGGGUCGCCAUUGCCGAUGAAUUUGAGGGCCGACCGAGGUCUAGGAGGAUCUCCGCGAGCGAGCGAGCGAGCGAGCGCGCGAGAGAGAGAAGGGGUGCGCCUUUGGAGUAUUUAGGUGCUGAGUGCUGACGACGGAAGAAAUAUAGCUGGUAUAUAUGUCGUGUUUUCGAGUGCGCGGGUGCAUUUUAGCAACUGAGGGGACGCGGCACGUG
rnacentral:lncRNA from 1 species